CAGUCGCCGCGGUAACACGUAGGGUGCGAGCGUUAAUCGGAAUUACUGGGCGUAAAGCGUGCGCAGGCGGUUCGUUAAGACAGAUGUGAAAUCCCCGGGCUUAACCUGGGAAUGGCAAUGGAUACUGGCGAGCUAGAGUGUGUCAGAGGAUGGUGGAAUUCCCGGUGUAGCGGUGAAAUGCGUAGAGAUCGGGAGGAACAUCAGUGGCGAAGGCGGCCAUCUGGGACAACACUGACGCUGAGGCACGAAAGCGUGGGGAGCAAACAGGAUUAGAUACCCCAGUAGUCCCUGUCUCUUAUAC
rnacentral:rRNA from 1 species